CGUGAAGAACAGAUGCUCCCGUUGCACCGAGGGUUUCUGUGCAGCUGAUGCACUUAGCCUAGUUUAUUUCACGGAAACUUUUAAGCUGGAUCUCGUCCAACGCCCAGGGAAGCAGAUGGCUUCUGUUGGUUUGAGUUGGUUUUCACGUCGAGUCCAUUCAGGUCUCCGAUUGCAAGUGGUUCCAGAGGGUUCUGAUUUCUUUUUUUCUCCUGACGUUCUGAUAAGAUUCGGUGUUAGGGCGACAGCUUAGCACUGACCGGUAGUUUUACAAAACCGAAUUUUGCUUUGGAAGGAUUUGUGCUGCGGAAGGGCAGAGCAGUCAGCUCAGUGACACGAAAACUCACCUCUGCGCACGGAGAGCUGCGGUGACGCCGUGGUGCUGGCUGGAUGCUUCCGGGGAGGUGGGCCAGCAGGAAAUCUGUUUCUGUGUGUUUAUGUGGACCUUCUAACCAGUGCUGCUUAGGAUAAAUAUGCCAUUUGCAGCAAGGAUCUGCAUCAAGGGACAGUAAAGAAAUUUGAUCGCCUGUUUCCUCUGAAGCAAGGCUGGAUUCAAAACCGAUAUUUCAGUCACAAAGCUUGCUGCAAGGCACCGAGGAUGCACCGAUCUGUAUUUAACGUUGGGAAGGCAAAUGUUGUGGCAUAUGUACUUGUACUCACUGAAAGCCAAAGAUUUGCCUCUAAUGUUUUUGCUCUCACUGCUGUGUGUGUUCCCUGUCAAAGCCUUGCAGAUUUGUACCCAUGCAAAGGAUUGCUGAGCUGCCAGACGUGGAUGAAAUGACUGAGUGGGGAAAAAACCUCUGCACAGAGGGCUGAGCUACGAGAUCCUUGGAGCAUCCCAAACGCAUGCUAGGGUCCAGCACCGCAGCCGCGCUCCCUGCUGGUCCGGCUGACCCUGACCCUGGCGGGUGCCGUGGGAGGCACAGCUUUCCUCCCGUUGGGAAACACCAGCGCGUCGGGAAGGGUUUGGAGAGCUGCGAGGUGCUCAGCCACUGCUGUUCGCGGUCUCGCUCUGGUCUCUGCAAAACGGGAAGUGUUUGCCCUAUGUAAAUUCACUCCUGUAAUUUGUAAGAGGAGAUCGCUUCCUGUCCUAAGCUGUUAUGUGGUAUGGCU
rnacentral:lncRNA from 1 species